rnacentral:misc_RNA from 1 species
UUGGGGCUGAAAGCAACCUCCAAAGGUGUUUGCUUUAAGGUUUGUCAAUCCAGGACUCUCACUCAUAUCAACUGGACUAUCAGACACAGUCCGCAAUUCAAACCCAUGAAGCAGUCGAGCCAGUGUCAGGAUCAGAACCUGGAGUGCGAAUGACACUCCUGGACACAUUCUUCUACCAGAUCCAAAUGGUAAGUAUUCAAAAUCCUGACCCCUGAAAUCCAAAGUUACAUGCUCAUUCAGGAACCUCUCAGGCUGAAAUUCCAAAGGGUUAGUUCAAAUGCUAGGGUCACGGUGUAACUUCCAAAGGUUAACGAAAAGUCGUGUGCCUGCCGGGAUGUGGAAGCCGGCUAUCAUGCAAUCCUCCAUGGCUUCCCUUUGUACUGAGAGUGGAGUGGCAGGGGGNNNNAUGUUUCCUUGACAAUAGCUUGCAAGUAUACCAGGUUCUUUACAUCUGACUCCUCCACUCGUUGGUGCUUUCCUACUUGGAUGUCAAGCUCAUCUUGAGCCUUUUUAAGAACAAUGCGGUUGUUUAGUAGCAAAGAUAGUGCCCAUGUAAGAG